rnacentral:rRNA from 1 species
CAGGCCUAACACAUGCAAGUCGAGCGCUUGGGGUGUUCCCUUACGGGAAACCCCCUGGAGCGGCGGACGGGUGAGUAACACGUAGGCAACCUGCCUGUAAGAUCGGGAUAACUACCGGAAACGGUAGCUAAGACCGGAUAGCUGGUUUCUCCGCAUGGGGGAAUCAUGAAACACGGGGCAACCUGUGGCUUACGGAUGGGCCUGCGGCGCAUUAGCUAGUUGGUGGGGUAAUGGCCCACCAAGGCGACGAUGCGUAGCCGACCUGAGAGGGUGAUCGGCCACACUGGGACUGAGACACGGCCCAGACUCCUACGGGAGGCAGCAGUAGGGAAUCUUCCGCAAUGGGCGCAAGCCUGACGGAGCAACGCCGCGUGAGUGAUGAAGGUUUUCGGAUCGUAAAGCUCUGUUGCCAAGGAAGAACGCCUCGGAGAGUAACUGCUCUGAGGGUGACGGUACUUGAGAAGAAAGCCCCGGCUAACUACGUGCCAGCAGCCGCGGUAAUACGUAGGGGGCAAGCGUUGUCCGGAAUUAUUGGGCGUAAGGCGCGCGCAGGCGGUCUUUUAAGUUUGGUGUUUAAGCCCGGGGCUCAACCCCGGUUCGCACUGAAAACUGGGAGACUUGAGUGCAGGAGAGGAAAGCGGAAUUCCACGUGUAGCGGUGAAAUGCGUAGAGAUGUGGAGGAACACCAGUGGCGAAGGCGGCUUUCUGGACUGUAACUGACGCUGAGGCGCGAAAGCGUGGGGAGCAAAC